GCAAGCUAAAUAACAGUACUUGAGUUAGAUCAGGAAACAGAGAGACAAAUUAGAAAACACCACGAAAAGGGAGUUCGGAAAAAAUAAAUGAAAUGAUGCACUUUGCCACUUUCUAAACUGGCAACACAGUAUAAUUGAUGAAAUGGCAUGUUUGCAAUUGUUUGUAGCCAUCUUUGCAUAUUUUCAUAGAGCAAACUAAACAGGGCGUGAAUAGAGCAAACUGUCCAAGUGGCAAAUGAAAAGGGUGGUUCAUCACAGGAAAAAAAAAGAGUUUGCCUCUUAGUCUUGUGGUCUUGCCUGGCUUUCGUGCCCUGGUCAAGCUAUCUGACCACCAAACGACAACCACUGGAGGCGGCCGCCGGCAGUCAGAUUUCUGAUCUCCGGCGCACAUCUCCACCCUGCCUCCCUAUCCCACGUCUCCUUGAAGACCUGAAAAUUUAUCUGCAAUCUGUUCAAACCUGAUGGAGGUCAAUUUUCUAUAGCAGUACUCCAAAGAUUGAAGGAAAAAAUCGGAUAGGCACCUGACAUAACGAGGAGACAGAAUCCACAGAAAGCAUGGAUUAUUAAGAGUUUAUCCGGUACCGCAACAAGAGCUCACAACAUCAAACGGUAUACAGCCACAGCCUGACAAUCAAACAAAAAGGGCAUAAACUUUAAUGCACACUUGGCAUCAUAUGUAAGUAGGAAAAUUGUCAAAUACGCAGAUAGACUUAGCAUUAUGUUUUCCAGACAGUAACAUUCUAGGUAGCUGAUAAUUCAUGUUGCCAGUAUCACAUCCAGCGUUAACAUGUUUUAAUACAAAGGGCAGCAGUGAAAGCUCAAUAUAGUUGUGAAGAUAUGUUUUUAUAGCACUGACAAAUAGAUUAGAUGCCAUCUAGCGGAGCCAGCUUGCAUCUGUUAAUGCCUACCUCUGUUUGCAUAAAGCAUAGCCUGUAAACAUUCUAGGCAGAUUGGAUAACACGCUCAACUUAGGUUAAACAUUCUAACAAUCUGCUGGGCUUAAAUCAUUAUAUAACAAAUUAACAGCAUAGCUUCAUUCAUACCUGUUAAAGAACACAUGUAACCCCUGAUUGGUGCAAAUCAGAAGAGGCUUUAGUUUACCAGCCAUAGUACUUGGAGGAGAUAAUAGGACGUACAAAGAUAAUAUACUACUGCAUUAUUCAGUUUUGAGUCAAGUUGUGCCUCAAACUGAAAGCAUCAGCAAUUAGGCUAAUCAGAAAUAUAGGAGAAAAAUAAAUAAAAAAAACUGAUACAAACUAGUAAAUCAUGAAUUACUUUCACAGCAUUUGGCAUCUUCAAACAAAGAUACUGCAGAAAGAAUGAAGAUAUUCAGCUUACAAGAAAUAGAGCAAGGAACCAACAAACUAAAUCAAAACUGCAUCAUCGAAACCAACACAUUGNNNN
rnacentral:lncRNA from 1 species